UACGAAGGGAGCUAGCGUUGUUCGGAAUUACUGGGCGUAAAGGGCGCGUAGGCGGUUAGACAAGUUGGAUGUGAAAGCCCAGGGCUCAACCUUGGAAUUGCAUUCAAGACUGUUUGACUUGAAUUCGGUAGAGGUGAGUGGAAUUCCCAGUGUAGAGGUGAAAUUCGUAGAGAUUGGGAAGAACACCGGUGGCGAAGGCGGCUCACUGGACCGACAUUGACGCUGAGGCGCGAAAGCGUGGGGAGCAAACAGG
rnacentral:rRNA from 1 species